AAAAGAUAAAAUGGAGAAGAGUAAAAGGGGGCUGCAUAUUGCUACCCUAAAAUCCAGAAACGAAAAUUAGAGAGUUAAGGGAGAGAAGAGAUGUUUCUAGGAGAGAAGAGGAAGAGCUACAGAAAACCUAGUGCAAGGGAAGACUUGUAUUUUUGAAGUUAGAUAAAGCCCUAGGAUUGGCCAAGAUGGUGCUGAGGCAUGAUAGAUUCGAGAGAUGACGGGGGACAAACUUGAGAUUUUAUUUACAGUUAUUGUUUUUGAACUUUGAGACAAUGUAAUUGAAGUUAUUUUAAUUCCUUCGUUAUUUUCAUUGGACAAGUGUUUUGAAACUAUUAUGUUUUAUGCACGUUUAAAUAUUGAGAUUUCGAAA